rnacentral:rRNA from 1 species
GAUGAACGCUGGCGGCGUGCUUAACACAUGCAAGUCGAACGAUGAAGCCCAGCUUGCUGGGUGGAUUAGUGGCGAACGGGUGAGUAACACGUGAGUAACCUGCCCUUAACUCUGGGAUAAGCCUGGGAAACUGGGUCUAAUACCGGAUAGGAGCGUCCCCCGCAUGGUGGGUGUUGGAAAGAUUUAUCGGUUUUGGAUGGACUCGCGGCCUAUCAGCUUGUUGGUGAGGUAAUGGCUCACCAAGGCGACGACGGGUAGCCGGCCUGAGAGGGUGACCGGCCACACCGGGACUGAGACACGGCCCAGACUCCUACGGGAGGCAGCAGUGGGGAAUAUUGCACAAUGGGCGCAAGCCUGAUGCAGCGACGCCGCGUGAGGGAUGACGGCCUUCGGGUUGUAAACCGCUUUCAGUAGGGAAGAAGCGAAAGUGACGGUACCUGCAGAAGAAGCGCCGGCUAACUACGUG